UACGAAGGGGGCUAGCGUUGUUCGGAAUCACUGGGCGUAAAGGGCGCGUAGGCGGCUUUAUAAGUCGGGGGUGAAAGCCUGUGGCUCAACCACAGAAUUGCCUUCGAUACUGUAGAGCUUGAGACCGGAAGAGGUAAGUGGAACUGCGAGUGGAGAGGUGAAAUUCGUAGAUAUUCGCAAGAACACCAGUGGCGAAGGCGGCUUACUGGUCCGGUUCUGACGCUGAGGCGCGAAAGCGUGGGGAGCAAACAGG
rnacentral:rRNA from 1 species